rnacentral:rRNA from 1 species
UAAUACCUGAUGGUAUGAUGAGAUUGCAUGAUAGCAUCAUUAAAGAUUUAUCGGUGUACGAUGGGGAUGCGUUCCAUUAGGUAGUAGGCGGGGUAACGGCCCACCUAGCCAACGAUGGAUAGGGGUUCUGAGAGGAAGGUCCCCCACAUUGGAACUGAGACACGGUCCAAACUCCUACGGGAGGCAGCAGUGAGGAAUAUUGGUCAAUGGACGAGAGUCUGAACCAGCCAAGUAGCGUGAAGGAUGAAGGUCCUACGGAUUGUAAACUUCUUUUAUAAGGGAAUAAACCCUCCCACGUGUGGGAGCUUGUAUGUACCUUAUGAAUAAGCAUCGGCUAACUCCGUGCCAGCAGCCGCGGUAAUACGGAGGAUGCGAGCGUUAUCCGGAUUUAUUGGGUUUAAAGGGAGCGCAGACGGGUCGUUAAGUCAGCUGUGAAAGUUUGGGGCUCAACCUUAAAAUUGCAGUUGAUACUGGCGUCCUUGAGUGCGGUUGAGGUGUGCGGAAUUCGUGGUGUAGCGGUGAAAUGCUUAGAUAUCACGAAGAACUCCGAUUGCGAAGGCAGCACACUAAUCCGUAACUGACGUUCAUGCUCGAAAGUGUGGGUAUCAAACAGGAUUAGAUACC